rnacentral:piRNA from 1 species
AGCCUCAGCCUAUGAUGUUUGUGUCUGU